GGUCCGGUCUGGCCUCGGAGACCCUGCUCACCCUGGAUGGAUGAAUAAAUGAUCAAAUGACUGUGUGAAGAUCAGUUUUACCACGUGAGCCAGAUUUGCCAGGAAGACCAGCCUCCCCAUCAUCACCAUGCUCUCCCUAGAUACAUAUUGAGAAGAAGACCUCCUGCCCCCUGAGGAGAAGAGAGGACUUAUAAGGAAUGUAGGCUGAGCAUGACAGUGUUGCCCAGGAGCACCAGGUCUGCCUCUCUCUCCAUCAAAACCAACUUGACCCUGAGACAGAAUAACAGAAUAUUAACC